CAUUAUAGUUAUUUAUAGGUUGUGACUGCUAUUGUAAAGAUUGCUGCUGUUCACCUUAAAUUCAUUUAAACCCUUGAUCCUUCAGAGACGAGCCCACAGGAGUUUUGUUUUGUUUUUGUAAAGUAUAAACUCUCACUUUGCUAGACCAACUUGGUCAAAAGAAGCUCCAGGCUGUGCUGCCCAGGCUGGACCUUCAGUCGAGUCCACAAUCUCAUUUGCGCAAAUCCUGAGCACUAUUCUGUCGGGGGGCUGCCUUGGACGAGUCUCCAGAGCUCCCUCAGCUCCAAAAGAAGAAGAAGAA